rnacentral:rRNA from 1 species
AACGAACGCUGGCGGCAUGCCUAACACAUGCAAGUCGAACGAGAUCUUCGGGUCUAGUGGCGCACGGGUGCGUAACGCGUGGGAAUCUGCCCUUUGGUUCAGAAUAACAGUUGGAAACGACUGCUAAUACCGGAUGAUGACGAAAGUCCAAAGAUUUAUCGCCAGAGGAUGAGCCCGCGUAGGAUUAGCUAGUUGGUGUGGUAAGGCGCACCAAGGCGACGAUCCUUAGCUGGUCUGAGAGGAUGAUCAGCCACACUGGGACUGAGACACGGCCCAGACUCCUACGGGAGGCAGCAGUGGGGAAUAUUGGACAAUGGGCGAAAGCCUGAUCCAGCAAUGCCGCGUGAGUGAUGAAGGCCUUAGGGUUGUAAAGCUCUUUUACCCGGGAUGAUAAUGACAGUACCGGGAGAAUAAGCUCCGGCUAACUCCGUGCCAGCCGCCGCGGUAA